rnacentral:sRNA from 1 species
AUUCCAAUGGAACAGACAGGGUAAGGACCAAUCUGGACUGUGUUAUCUUUUCCAGGUGCAAGUAUAUGCUAUGGAACUCCUAGUUAUAACUAUGCACCAAAUAUGGAUAAACACUGGAUUAUGCAGUACACAGGACCAAUGCUGCCCAUCCACAUGGAAUUUACAAACAUUCUACAGCGCAAAAGGCUCCAGACUUUGAUGUCAGUGGAUGAUUCUGUGGAGAGGCUGUAUAACAUGCUCGUGGAGACGGGGGAGCUGGAGAAUACUUACAUCAUUUACACCGCCGACCAUGGUUACCAUAUUGGGCAGUUUGGACUGGUCAAGGGGAAAUCCAUGCCAUAUGACUUUGAUAUUCGUGUGCCUUUUUUUAUUCGUGGUCCAAGUGUAGAACCAGGAUCAAUAGUCCCACAGAUCGUUCUCAACAUUGACUUGGCCCCCACGAUCCUGGAUAUUGCUGGGCUCGACACACCUCCUGAUGUGGACGGCAAGUCUGUCCUCAAACUUCUGGACCCAGAAAAGCCAGGUAACAGGUUUCGAACAAACAAGAAGGCCAAAAUUUGGCGUGAUACAUUCCUAGUGGAAAGAGGCAAAUUUCUACGUAAGAAGGAAGAAUCCAGCAAGAAUAUCCAACAGUCAAAUCACUUGCCCAAAUACGAACGGGUCAAAGAACUGUGCCAGCAGGCCAGGUACCAGACAGCCUGUGAACAACCGGGGCAGAAGUGGCAAUGCAUUGAGGAUACAUCUGGCAAGCUUCGAAUUCACAAGUGUAAAGGACCCAGUGACCUGCUCACAGUCCGGCAGAACACGCGGAACCUCUACGCUCGCGGCUUCCAUGACAAAGACAAAGAGUGCAGUUGUAGGGAGUCUGGUUACCGUGCCAGCAGAAGCCAAAGAAAGAGUCAACGGCAAUUCUUGAGAAACCAGGGGACUCCAAAGUACAAGCCCAGAUUUGUCCAUACUCGGCAGACACGUUCCUUGUCCGUCGAAUUUGAAGGUGAAAUAUAUGACAUAAAUCUGGAAGAAGAAGAAUUGCAAGUGUUGCAACCAAGAAACAUUGCUAAGCGUCAUGAUGAAGGCCACAAGGGGCCAAGAGAUCUCCAGGCUUCCAGUGGUGGCAACAGGGGCGGGAUGCUGGCAGAUAGCAGCAACGCCGUGGGCCCACCUACCACUGUCCGAGUGACACACAAGUGUUUUAUUCUUCCCAAUGACUCUAUCCAUUGUGAGAGAGAACUGUACCAAUCGGCCAGAGCGUGGAAGGACCAUAAGGCAUACAUUGACAAAGAGAUUGAAGCUCUGCAAGAUAAAAUUAAGAAUUUAAGAGAAGUGAGAGGACAUCUGAAGAGAAGGAAGCCUGAGGAAUGUAGCUGCAGUAAACAAAGCUAUUACAAUAAAGGGAAAGGUGUAAAAAAGCAAGAGAAAUUAAAGAGCCAUCUUCACCCAUUCAAGGAGGCUGCUCAGGAAGUAGAUAGCAAACUGCAACUUUUCAAGGAGAACCGUAGGAGGAAGAAGGAGAGGAAGGAGAAGAGACGGCAGAGGAAGGGGGAAGAGUGCAGCCUGCCUGGCCUCACUUGCUUCACGCAUGACAACAACCACUGGCAGACAGCCCCGUUCUGGAACCUGGGAUCUUUCUGUGCUUGCACGAGUUCUAACAAUAACACCUACUGGUGUUUGCGUACAGUUAAUGAGACGCAUAAUUUUCUUUUCUGUGAGUUUGCUACUGGCUUUUUGGAGUAUUUUGAUAUGAAUACAGAUCCUUAUCAGCUCACAAAUACAGUGCACACGGUAGAACGAGGCAUUUUGAAUCAGCUACACGUACAACUAAUGGAGCUCAGAAGCUGUCAAGGAUAUAAGCAGUGCAACCCAAGACCUAAGAAUCUUGAUGUUGGAAAUAAAGAUGGAGGAAGCUAUGACCUACACAGAAUGUUGCUGUUCCUGGUACCCUGUUCGGCCCCUCUAACCUCCAGAGCUAUGGUCUCAGAUGCUUCCUUUUAGAGAGAAGGUCAUUAGUCCACCAAGAAGCCAAAUGACAACAGGAAAGGUGAUGGGAAGAUGAAAACAAAGGAAGGUGGACUUUUGGGUAUAUGUUACAGCCAUAGGACAGUUAUGGGAUGGAUGGGAAGGUUAAUCAGCCCCGUCUCACUGCAGACAUCAACUGGCAAGGCCUAGAGGAGCUACACAGUGUGAAUGAAAACAUCUAUGAGUACAGACAAAACUACAGACUUAGUCUGGUGGACUGGACUAAUUACUUGAAGGAUGUAGAUAGAGUAUUUGCACUGCUGAAGAGUCACUAUGAGCAAAAUAAAACAAAUAAGACUCAAACUGCUCAAAGUGACGGGUUCCUGGUUGUCUCUGCUGAGCGCGCUGUGUCAAUGGAGAUGGCCUCUGCUGACUCAGAUGAAGACCCAAGGCAUAAGGUUGGGAAAACACCUCAUUUGACCUUGCCAGCCGACCUUCGAACCCUGCAUUUGAACCGACCAACAUUAAGUCCAGAGAGUAAACUUGAAUGGAAUAACGACAUUCCAGAAGUUAAUCGUUUGAAUUCUGAACACUGGAGAAAAACUGAAAAAUGGACGGGGCAUGAAGGGACCAAUCAUCUGGAAACCGAUUUCAGUGGCGAUGGCAUGACAGAGCUAGAGCUCAGGCCCAGCCCCAGGCUGCAGCCCAUUCGCAGGCACCCGAAAGAACUUCCCCAGUAUGGUGGUCCUGGAAAGGACAUUUUUGAAGAUCAACUAUAUCUUCCUGUGCAUUCCGAUGGAAUUUCAGUUCAUCAGAUGUUCACCAUGGCCACCGCAGAACACCGAAGUAAUUCCAGCAGAGCGGGGAAGAUGUUGACCAAGGUGGAGAAGAAUCACGAAAAGGAGAAGUCACAGCACCUAGAAGGCAGGGCCUCCUCUUCACUCUCCUCUGAUUAGAUGAAAUUGUUACCUUACCCUAAACACAGUAUUUCUUUUUAACUUUUUUAUUUGUAAACUAAUAAAGGUAAUCACAGCCACCAACA